CGCGAGGCAGAGCGAAUCUCAAAAAGCCGUCCCAGUUCGGAUUGCAGGCUGCAACCCGCCUGCAUGAAGUUGGAAUCGCUAGUAAUCGCGGAUCAGCAUGCCGCGGUGAAUACGUUCCCGGGCCUUGUACACACCGCCCGUCACACCAUGAGAGUCGGGAACACCCGAUGUCCGUAGCCUAACCGCAAGGGGGGCGCGGCCGAAGGUGGGUUCGAUAAUUGGGGUGAAGUCGUAACAAGGUAUC
rnacentral:rRNA from 1 species